GGAACGAGUGAACGACAAGUCGACGAGUCACAUUACCAGUACAGUCGCAGGACGCCUCACGCGAUCACGUCAGUCACGGCAGGGCAAGUUGCUGACCCCGACGCCCAUGUCGCCCAGUCACGUCACCACUCACUAGUGGUUAUUCUUUAAUGCAUUGACAUCUACAGGUAUGCAGAUGUUGCAUCAUGGGGAUUUGGGAAUGAAGAGCUUGUGUAACAUAUUGUUCUAUUUAUUAUUAUAUAGUAGAUACAUUUACAUUUAAGUUUGGUUUGAAGUAAGGUUAACAAUGUUAUUUGAUUUUUAAGUUAUUUCCUUAUUUAUUAUAUUUCAAUUUUAUGAUUUAGUUA